GACGAACGCUGGCGGCGUGCUUAACACAUGCAAGUCGAACGGAAAGCCCCUGCAACGGUGUUUUGAUCGGGUGGCGAACGGGUGAGUAACACGAGAGUAACCUGCGCUGGGCUAUGAGAGAUCGUCAGGAAACUUGGGCUAAUACAGGAUAGGAGCUCCUGCGGCGAGGCGGGGCUUGGAAAGGCUCGGCGGUUGUGGAUGGGCUCGCGGCUUAUCAGCUUGUUGGUGGGGUAGUGGCUUACCAAGCCGUGGAGGAGUAGCCGGCCUGAGGGGGUGAGCAGCAGCCAUGGGGCUAAGGUACGGCCCCGAAGACUACGGGAGGAAGCAGUGGGGAAUAUUGCACAAUGGGCGGAAGCAUGAUGCAGCAACGCCGCGGGCGGGAGGAAGGCCUUCGGGUUGUAAACCGCUUUCGCUUGUGAAGAAGCGGGAGUGACGGUAAUGGGUAAAGAAGCACCGGCUAACUACGUG
rnacentral:rRNA from 1 species